AAGUGCAUGUUUAACCAUCGAACAGUCUACAUGUUAUUCACUGCAUUAUAAAGAAAUGCCGGUAAAAUGCACAAACACUUUAGAUGUCUUUGUUUUUAGUUUGGCGAUCGUUCAUUAUCCUAGCUAGUAUGCAGGUGCUCCGUAUCUAAAAAGUAAGUUUAUGUUCUACUUGUUUCAGGCCUUCAUUUUGCUGUGAGGGAAGGCAAGGAACACCGAGAUUUAAGAUUGUGGAACAACCCCCAAAUCACUGGCCCACAUUUUGAUGCGCGAGGACAUAGUUGCUGUUUGUUGUAUAAAGAGGAUAGCAGUAAAACGAAUCAAGGCGGCAUCAACGACCGAAACACUACACCAAAGGAAGUGCAGGAAUAUGAAAACCGACACAAAGAUUGAUGUUUCGUCAGGCUGUUUCAGAAGUACAAGUCUCUGUGCACUGCCGGAAAGGACACUGACAUCUUUUGCUUUAAACCAGUCACUAAACCAACUCCUGCCAAUUGGUUCACGAAAUAUCCAGUGGGGCACAACACCCUACAGGGCAGUAUCAAGCGAUUAUGUGAAGCAAGUGGGAUAAGAGGCAAAACCAAUUAUUCCCUGCGAGCUACGGCGGCCACGCGACUAUUCCAGGCUAACGUGCAAUGUAACAGGACACCGAAGCGAGGCCGUAAGGACCUAUAAGCAUCUGUCUGACGAGCAACAAGAGGUUGUGUCGACUAGCCUUACACAAACGACACGCACAACGUCCAACACCACGCCCACUGACCCGGUUGAAGCUAAGGCGGAAUCCGAAGUUGGCCCCGAGGACAGAAAUGCUCCCGGUGUUCAUACAAUGUCCAUUCUUGCCAAACAUGUUACCAACUUUAACUUUCACUAAAUAAAUUCUGAAAUUCU